GGAUGUGAGGGCGAUCUGGCUGCGACAUCUGUCACCCCAUUGAUCGCCAGGUUUGAUUCGGCUGAUCUGGCUGGCUAGGCGGGUGUCCCCUUCCUCCCUCACCGCUCCAUGUGCGUCCCUCCCGAAGCUGCGCGCUCGGUCGAAGAGGACGACCUUCCCCGAAUAGAGGAGGACUGGUCUUCGGUCAAGGGUAUACGAGUAGCUGCGCUCCCCUGCUAGAACCUCCAAACAAGCUCUCGAAAAAGCAAGAAACUAAUGGUCUGGCAACAAAACAAAGAGAAGAAAAGCACACAAACAUAACCUCACGUCCAAAUAUGAAUAUAACAGGGAGCAAUAAUCACUAUUCCUU
rfam:Rattus norvegicus chromosome 1, whole genome shotgun sequence.